rnacentral:rRNA from 1 species
AAUAGAUACCCUGGUAGUCCACGCCGUAAACGAUGGAUGCUAGCUGUUAUGCGUAUCGACCCGUGUAGUAGCGAAGCUAACGCGUUAAGCAUCCCGCCUGGGGAGUACGAACGCAAGUUUAAAACUCAAAGGAAUUGACGGGGACCCGCACAAGCGGUGGAGCGUGUUCUUUAAUUCGAGGCUAAGCGAAGAACCUUACCAGGGCUUGACAUCCUUGGAAUUUCUCCGAAAGGAGAGAGUACUUUAUUGGACCAAGUGACAGGUGCUGCAUGGCCGUCGUCAGCUCGUGUCGUGAGAUGUUUGGUUAAGUCCAUUAACGAGCGCAACCCUUGAUCUUAGUUGCCAGCAUUCAGUUGGGCACUCUAAGGUGACUGCCGGUGACAAACCGGAGGAAGGUGGGGAUGACGUCAAAUCAUCAUGCCCCUUAUGACCUGGGCUACACACGUGCUACAAUGGAUGGUACAAAAGGGCUGCAAACCUGCGAAGGUAAGCGAAUCCCAUAAAGCCAUUCUCAGUUCGGAUUGCAGGCUGA